rnacentral:tRNA from 1 species
AGCGCCGUGGCGCAGUGGAAGCNGGCUCAUAACCCUGAUGUCCUUGGAUCGAAACCAAGCGGCGCUA